rnacentral:rRNA from 1 species
UGGAUGCCUUGGCACUAGGAGCCGAUGAAGGACGGGACGAACACCGAUAUGCUUCGGGGAGCUGUAAGCAAGCUUUGAUCCGGAGAUUUCCGAAUGGGGAAACCCACUGCUCGUAAUGGAGCAGUAUCCAUAUCUGAAUUCAUAGGAUAUGAGAAGGCAGACCCGGGGAACUGAAACAUCUAAGUACCCGGAGGAAGAGAAAGCAAAUGCGAUUCCCUGAG